UCAGGAUGAACGCUAGCGGCAGGCUUAACACAUGCAAGUCGAGGGGUAACGAUAGUGCUUGCACUAGGCGACGACCGGCGCACGGGUGAGUAACGCGUAUGCAACCUACCUGUAACAGGGGCAUAGCCCGAAGAAAUUCGGAUUAAUACCCCAUAAUAUUUUCGAGAAGCAUUUCUUGAAUCUUAAAGCUUCGGCGGUUAUGGAUGGGCAUGCGUAGCAUUAGAUUGUUGGUGAGGUAACGGCUCAUCACCAAGUCGUUGAUGCUUAGGGGGUCUUAAAGGAUGGUCCCCCACACUGGUACUGAGACACGGACCAGACUCCUACGGGAGGCAGCAGUGAGGAAUAUUGGUCAAUGGGCGCAAGCCUGAACCAGCCAUGCCGCGUGCAGGAUUACAGCCCUAUGGAUUGUAAACUGCUUUUGUACGGGAAGAAACCUGAUUACGUGUAAUCAGCUGACGGUACCGUAAGAAUAAGGAUCGGCUAACUCCGUGCCAGCAGCCGCGGUAAUACGGAGGAUGCAAGCGUUAUCCGGAUUUAUUAGGUUUAAAGGGUGCGUAGGCUGAUUAUUAAGUCAGUGGUGAAAUCUUGUAGCUUAACUACAAAACUGCCAUUGAUACUGAUAAUCUUGAGUAUAGUUGAGGUAGGCGGAAUGUGUAGUGUAGCGGUGAAAUGCAUAGAUAUUACACAGAACACCAAUUGCGAAGGCGGCUUACUAAACUAUAACUGACGCUGAUGCACGAAAGCGUGGGUAGCGAACAGGAUUAGAUACCCUGGUAGUCCACGCCGUAAACGAUGAUUACUCGUUGCAUGCGAUACACAGUAUGUGACUUAGCGAAAGCAUUAAGUAAUCCACCUGGGGAGUACGUUGGCAACAAUGAAACUCAAAGGAAUUGACGGGGGCCCGCACAAGCGGAGGAACAUGUGGUUUAAUUCGAUGAUACGCGAGGAACCUUACCUGGACUUAAAUGUAGCGUCCGUCCCUGAAAGGGGAUUUCUCUUCGGAGCAAGUUACAAGGUGCUGCAUGGCUGUCGUCAGCUCGUGCCGUGAGGUGUCGGGUUAAGUCCCAUAACGAGCGCAACCCCUAUUGUUAGUUGCUAACAGGUCAAGCUGAGGACUCUAGCGAGACUGCCACCGUAAGGUGAGAGGAAGGUGGGGAUGACGUCAAGUCAGCACGGCCCUUACGUCCAGGGCUACACACGUGUUACAAUGGUCGUUACAGAGGGCGGCUACCUAGUGAUAGGAUGCUAAUCUCGAAAGCUGAUCUCAGUUCGGAUCGAAGUCUGCAACUCGACUUCGUGAAGUUGGAUUCGCUAGUAAUCGCGUAUCAGCAACGACGCGGUGAAUACGUUCCCGGGCCUU
rnacentral:rRNA from 1 species